AGAGUUUGAUCCUGGCUCAGGAUGAACGCUAGCGGCAGGCUUAAUACAUGCAAGUCGGACGGUAACAGACCUGGCAACGGGUGCUGACGAGUGGCGCACGGGUGCGUAACACGUAUGCAACCUACCCUGUACUGGGGGAUAACCCUGAGAAAUCGGGGCUAAUACCCCAUGGUAUUGUGAAGUGGCAUCACUUUACAAUUAAAGAUUCAUUGGUACGGGAUGGGCAUGCGCCCCAUUAGUUAGUUGGUGAGGUAACGGCUCACCAAGGCGGUGAUGGGUAGGGGUUCUGAGAGGAUUAUCCCCCACACUGGUACUGAGACACGGACCAGACUCCUACGGGAGGCAGCAGUAAGGAAUAUUGGGCAAUGGAGGCAACUCUGACCCAGCCAUGCCGCGUGCAGGAAGACGGCCCUAUGGGUUGUAAACUGCUUUU
rnacentral:rRNA from 1 species